GCAAUGGUGGUUCCGUGGAAGAAUUCCUGCCUUCCACGCAGGAGAUCCGGGUUCAGUUCCCAGCCAAUGCA
rnacentral:tRNA from 1 species